UCCAUUUUUCAGGUUUUUAUUGGUGUUGCAAACGAUGAAACGAUCACUAAAUUCUGUGCCUAUGUGAGAUUUGUUGGUUCAUCGAAUAACAUCAAACUUACAGUAAGGUAAACGGUCAAGCAAAGUGUGCAAGGUCGUUGAUGGAGUAUUCCAUGUGAAAUCCUCUCACCAGUCUGAGCCCCACCAACUGAACAUCAGAGGACCAUCUUGCACCUGCAGAAACUUCAGCAGGACUCACAUCCCCUGCAGACAUAUUUUUCAAGCUAUCGAUGAUGGUUUAAUGAAAUGGGAGGACCUACCUGAAGAUUACAGAAACAUACCGUUCUUCGUAAAAGAUAAAGGAAGUGAUAUUGGGAUAUGGCCAGCUGAUGCAGAUGUAAACAAAUGCUGCGAUUAUCCAGCAUCAGAAGACGAGGAUGAAGAAGUAGAAGAUGAUGAGGUUGGAGGAAAUGGGGAUAAAAGAAAGAAGAAACGGGACAUAGACUAUAUAAAGGAGAUUGGCGGGAGCUUUCAAACAGAAUAACUUCCUUCGUUAAUGAUCCCGAGUUUGACGUGAUGGACGAUGAUGUCCGUGCAUUAUUAUAUAAGAAACUGUCAGAUACCGCCAAUGAUGUGGCAUCCUAUAUUUACAAAAGAAACUAAUAUAGAUAACAUA